GACGAACGCUGGCGGCGUGCUUAACACAUGCAAGUCGAACGGUAAGGCCCAUCGGGGUACACGAGUGGCGAACGGGUGAGUAACACGUGGGUGAUCUGCCCUGCACUUCGGGAUAAGCCUGGGAAACUGGGUCUAAUACCGGAUAGGACCACUGCCUACAUGGGUGGUGGUGGAAAGCUUUUGCGGUGUGGGAUGGGCCCGCGGCCUAUCAGCUUGUUGGUGGGGUGAUGGCCUACCAAGGCGACGACGGGUAGCCGGCCUGCAGAGGGUGACCGGCCACACUGGGACUGAGAUACGGCCCAGACUCCUACGGGAGGCAGCAGUGGGGAAUAUUGCACAAUGGGCGCAAGCCUGAUGCAGCGACGCCGCGUGAGGGAUGACGGCCUUCGGGUUGUAAACCUCUUUCAGCACCGACGAAGCGCAAGUGACGGUAGGUGCAGAAGAAGGACCGGCCAACUACGUGCCAGCCGCCGCCGUAAGAC
rnacentral:rRNA from 1 species